rnacentral:rRNA from 1 species
AAGCGGAGGAAAAGAAACCAACAGGGAUUGCCCUAGUAACGGCGAGUGAAGCGGCAACAGCUCAAAUUUGAAAUCUGGCUCUUUCAGAGUCCGAGUUGUAAUUUGUAGAGGGUGCUUUGGCGUUGACUGUGGUCUAAGUUCCUUGGAACAGGACGUCGCAGAGGGUGAGAAUCCCGUAUGUGGCCGCCAGUCUUCGCCGUGUAAAGCCCCUUCGACGAGUCGAGUUGUUUGGGAAUGCAGCUCUAAAUGGGAGGUAAAUUUCUUCUAAAGCUAAAUAUUGGCCAGAGACCGAUAGCGCACAAGUAGAGUGAUCGAAAGAUGAAAAGCACUUUGGAAAGAGAGUCAAAAAGCACGUGAAAUUGUUGAAAGGGAAGCGCUUGCAGCCAGACUUGCCUGUAGUUGCUCAUCCGGGCUUUUGCCCGGUGCACUCUUCUAUAGGCAGGCCAGCAUCAGUCCUGGCGGUUGGAUAAAUGUCUGCACAAUGUACCUCUCCUCGGGGAGGACUUAUAGGGCAGGCGGCAUACAACCAGCCGGGAUUGAGGUCCGCGCAUCUGCUAGGAUGCUGGCGUAAUGGCUGUAAGCGGCCCCGUCUUGAAAACA